UCAUCUUUAAAGCGAUCAUUAUAACUAUAAUGAUUUGCCAUAUUUAUAAAAUUAUUACUCUUCAAUCUUUUUGUCUUUUUCCUCCUUUUAUAAAAAAUAAUUGUUACUCGUCCUUCCUCCUUUGAUCGGAACCAGACUCUGAUACCUGUUGUUGAGAAAAUAACAAAAAAAACAAUUUUCUGCACACGCGAAAGUAUAUCCACACAAAAAAAAUUCAAAAACAAAACUAAAAAAUUC
rnacentral:lncRNA from 1 species